rnacentral:tRNA from 1 species
GUUCCUGUAGUUAAAUGUAUAAUGGCGGCUUUUCAAGCCGCAGGUCCCAGAGAGAGGCUGGGUAGGAAUA